UAUAAAUAUUUUAUAUAUAUGUCAUGGUACAAUAUAAGGUACAUGAAAGAAACACAAUAAAAAUAUAUAAUAUAAAAAGAGAGUACAUACAUAUAUAUAUAUAUAUAACGUAAUAUAUUAUGAAACGUUUAUAUAUAUAUAUAUAUAUAUGUAUAUAUUACAUAUAUUAUAUAUAUUAUAUAUAAUAUAAUAACGUGAUCCAACAACCAGGCCGUUCGAAUUAACACACCAUUGAAUUUAUUAAACCAGAUAUUUUUUGAUCGUCGAAGUUAUUGUCAGAUUCUAUUGAACGUGCGUCUAUGCGAGGAAAAAAUUCGCAUGGAUGCACGUAUCUCUCUUUAUGCCUAAAUGUCAUAAAAAUAAUGCUACAGUCUUUAACUGUGAUGAUAUCACGACCAUAUUAUAAACGAUAUGAUUAUAAUGUUGAAAUAAAACUUUCAUUGUGGAAGGUAAUAGUCGAUAAAAAUAUAUUAAUAUAUCGACGAAUAAUAGAGUAUUAAAUAACAGCUCCUUGGAGUAAUUUCUUCGGACUGAAUGCGUAAUAAUAAUAAAAAUACUUAUAUAUAUAUAUAUACCACUUUGCGAAAAUCGUUCAUCUUUUUCAGAAAACUUUAUCUCUUGGUCCAAAGUGGGUGAACAAAUCGUGAGCCAAAUAUCACUGUAAAUAGCUUUAAAAUCGGAGCCUAGCAUAACGAAAAUCACAAAUACCACAUCGUUGUUUUCAUUAUAAUAUAACGUUAUUUAAAUAUAAGUUGUUAUACUAAUUUAUACGUACAUAUAUGCGUACUUCUGUGUAAAAUUCGGAUUGUACCUUAAUUAUGUAUGUACGUACUAAAACGACACAUAUACGUACGUAUAUGUAUAACGAAAAUGAUAAUGAAAAUGAAAAAAAGAAAAAGAAACAAAAACAAAAAUAAAUAAAUAAAUAAAUAUAUAUAUAUAUAUCUAUAAAGACAAAAUAAAGAGAUUAAUAGUCAAAUAUUGUAAAUCGUUUAUUAUCAUCGACGUUAUGAAAUAAUAUCUAUGGUAACAAAUUAUUAUAUAUGAUGUCCUUCGAUAUUAUGAUCAUCGAAAUGAUUUUCAUAAUGUUCAUCGUAAUAUGGAUGAGGUUCUGUCUCUAUAUCGUGAUAGGACGAUGAUAAGAUUCCAUUAAAAGUUGAUAUUUCUAAAAGAAAUUUUAUAUGAAAGCACUAUUACUCACCCGCAUUUGAUUCACCAACGUGUCCCAAUUCAUUAGAGUGUUCUAAAAUUGGCACGAUAUCGCUGUCAUGAUGUACUGUCAAAUCCAAAUCACUCACUCCGUUCACGUAAUUCGAUGAAAGAGGCAGAUCUUCGUAAUUAUCAACGUGUACGUUUUGAUAGCUGGUUGCACCGUGCCCGUGAUAAAUCGUUCGUAAAUUCGGAAAAUGUUCGUACUCUAAUUGACGUGGUAUUCUCGCAGCAUCGCACAUGGCUAUUGCCAUGAUAUACAACUGAAUGGAACAGAGCAAGAAAAAAAAAAAAGAGAAAAAAAAAAGCAUUGAAAAAUUAACACGUCAAUGUCUUCAGUGAUAGAUCGAAUCUUUUUUACUCGUUUUCCGAAUGAAAGAAAAAAAAAAAAUAAGAAGAAGAAGAACAAGGAAACAAGGAGAUUCUUUUUACGAAAAAAGAAGAAGAAGAAAAAAAAAAAAUUAAGACAAACUCACGAAGUAUUUCAUAGCUUAUUUACUUGUUGAACAGUCUCGCCUAUUUCUACUGUGGUAUAUCUGAAGAAGCAACGUUAGUUUUAUACUCGGUUUCCCCGAAAGAAAUGUUGAAAUAUCUGAUGCGAAUAUCCAUGCUAAAGUACGAGCGGAUGUUUAUAAUCAGCAAUAAACUCCAUGGCGUAUCUUCUCUAGGACAGGAUACAUCAGAUUCAUGGUCUCGAGGUGUAUACGUGGGUAUGGGAAGGUUGAGAUUUGGUCUAGAGAGCUAGUAAACAACAUGUAAGUACGAUGUAUGGUUUCUAAACGGAGAUUGAACCUCAGUUGCCGAAGGCAUUGUGCAAUUGGCUACGUAGCGUUACGAAUGUAUGACGAAACGACGCUGUGGAUUCUUUGAAAUCUCUUGGAAACCGUACACGUAAUUAGUUUUCUAUCGUAUCAUUGAUUUCCUAGGAGUAUAGAUAAUAAUCACGUCAAACUUAAAAAUAUUCUUUAAACGGUUUCCACGGUUUUACGUGAUUUUCAUUUCUAAAGGAUUUUAUUUAUUUCCUACAUUCACAGUUAGGUUGUUCGAAUGAGAAAGGAUAGUUGAGUUAUGUACUAGUUAUGUACACGGUUACUCUCGUCUAUUUAAGAAAAAAAAAAAAACAAAUAAAAAAAAAAAGAAAAAAAAAAGAAAUAAAUAACCCCAGUGAUUUCAUAAGAGGGAUACUUACAAAAUUUGGUGAGAUCUAAAAGACUAGAGGAAAUUCGAAGAAGAAUAAUAGACCAUUUUAAAGCACGAGCGUGGGAUAUGAUAAAACUUACUAUUGUCGUAAUUACGUAAGACAGAUUAUUUAUUGGUAGAGAGUGUAGACAUUACAAAAGUGCAUUUUUACUAAAUUACGAUCAAGAAAGGUGGCUCAUUAUGGCAGUUAAUUGUAGCUCGAUUGUUUUGAUCUAUUUCCAUUAGGAAAUAGCUCAUUGUUUCUUGUGAGCUAAAUUGUCUCUCUUACUUCAUGAUGGUCAAGAGAAUCGAUGGUGAUUAAAUUAGGUUUUUUUCUCGGCUUCAUGUGAUCCUUAUGAUUUCAGUCGCACAUAGGUUUCGCUAUUUUGACAAUAGCUGGAGGUGGAUGAACUGGAGCAGGUGGAAGAUAGACGGGUUGAUGUACUAUUGGAGACGGUUGAGCAAUUUUCACGUAUGAUACUGGAGCUGCCUGUAUGUGAACAACUUUAGGUUGCGGUGGUGGAAUGUAGGAAAUAGGUUGUGGGGCUGGUUUUUGAUAUACAUAGCCUGAAAUAGCUGGUUUUUGAUAAACAUAGCCUGAAAUAGCUGGUUUUUGAUAGACAAUUCCUGGUUUUUGAUAAAUCACCUGCGUUUGUACAGCAGGAACUUCGUAUUUUUUAAAAUAAAUUUUCGGCGCCUCAUACAUUGGCUUUUGAUAAGCCGGGGCAUAAGAAUACAUUGGCUUUUGAUAAAUCACUUUAGCCGGUGUAUAAGAUGGCACCCAUGGUUUGACGACAGAUUGAAUCGGAUGGACCGAAUACGAUGGUGCAUGAACGGGUUGAUAACUUAUUACCUGCGGUUUCACGUAAGUCACCGAUUGUUUUGGAAUAAUUGUAUAACUCGGUUGAUGACUUGAUAUAUAUUGUAUAUGAGGUGGUGAUUGAUGGACUGUCACUUCCUUUUUCGGAUAACUGGGCUGUUCAUAAGCUUUUACAAGAACAGCUGGUUGAUGAUAUGCGGGAAGGUGGUACUGCGGUGGACAAGGGUCUUGAACGUAGCCCCUUUUCAAUUUGGACAAUGAAGAAUCCAUUGUACCGGAAUCCAUCAUGUCCAUAUGAACGCUGUGCGAACGAACGCUCGCCAGCCAUAACAGGCAUGGUAUCUAAAGAUUAGAAAGGAAUAUAUACUAAUGGAAAGAUAAAAGAAAAAAAGAAAAAACGAUGUUUUUACUUCGGAUAUCGUUUUCUAUAUAAAUAUGAAACAUAUAACGAGCAGUCAGAGCGAGCAGGGUGACAAGAUUUCUCUUUAAAAAAGAAGAAAAAAAAGAAAAAAACCAAAGGAAAAAAAAAUAAGAGUCCAGGCUAAUAAAAAUAUGCAGAAGCGUGCGAAGUUUCCCUCGUGCCAAAGUAGAUUAUAUCGUUGAGUUAGAGAAAAGCGUCAAGGAGAAAAGCGUUUCGCUGAUGCGUAUCGCUUACCAGUAACCUCAGCAUGAUUAACUUUGUCUUCCUUUUAUUAUCUUGAAAUAGUUAGUAUAAGAUGACCGAUAGAAUGAAUGUUCUGAACGAAACUAAAAGCGCGUCGUUGGUACUUGCCGGUUUUAUAAACUUUUCCUCGGCUUAGGCGGCAUAAGUAACUUGUUGACCGAAGUCGAUUGAGAUUCCCUUAAGCGGUGUAAAAAGCAGCCGUUGUGCGUUCAAGCCCUGUAAUGAUGCAAUUGCUCGCGCCCCGGUAUUUCCUGAAUAAAUUCUGCGGCUCUUGUAAGAACCUAUGUAUGUAUAUAUAUAUAUAUAUAUAUAUAUAUAUAUAUAUAUAUAUAUAUAUAUGUACAUACAUACAUAGAUAUCUUGGGCACGGCCGAGUAGUUGACGUUUUAUACCGGUGACGGGGUUUACGACACAUGGACAAAAUCAUUUGAAAUAGGCGUGCACAGAUAGAAGUCGAAGAUCGCUCGAGGUAUAGCCCGAAGGUAACGAUCACAACGAUAACGCGAUGGUUAGAACGACGUAUCCGCAUUUUCGAAUAAAAGCUAAGGAUCUUUUUCUGUCGGACGAUUUUUCUUUUCUUUUCUCUCUCUCUCUCUCUCUCUCUCUCUCUUUCUUUCGUUUUAUCCUUAGGAUACAGAAUUUUAUAAUACUCUUUGCCUCAGGCCUAUUGAGCUAAUAAAUUACGAAGUGAUCAAUGACGUUUGUCUUUACAAUAGCCGUGAGUUAUAGCCACGUUAUGAAACGGUUAUAAAAGCUGUGUUUAAAUAAAAAAAAAAAAAAAAAAAAAUACAAGAAAAAAGAAAAUAAAUAAAAAGAAAGAAAGAAAGAAAGAAAUAGAAAAAAUAAAGAAACAAUCGCCAUGUCCAGGUUGAAUUAAUGAUUUAUCUCUCGAGAAAGAUGCUCGCCGCGGUGGUUCUUUUGUUUUCGAUCUUAUAGUAAACGGGGUCAGUCCGUACCUUACAAGUAAAUGAUUCUUGAAUUAAAAAAGGUAAUGUUGCAGCGGUAGAAUGCAGUUCGCUAAACGUCUUGGUAUAACCACAAUUAAGUCUCGUACUUUCGAAUCCUUUCGGUCUACCCAAGCGAUUUGGCUUAAACGGUCAUGUCACCCGAGGGAGGAAAGUAAUCACCUAACGACCCGUACAAAUGGACAAUUUUUAUUUAACAAAAAAACAACGAUACAUUAUAUAGAUAACAUUAUUUACAAAAUGUGUAAACUUAACUAAAUUUUAAAUUAUAAGUUACUCGAGUAA